rnacentral:rRNA from 1 species
AUGGGCGAGGAGGCCAAUUGCGACGCCGUGAUGGAGGCCGGCAACGGCAACGGCAAGGCCAAGGAGAACGGCCACGCCGUUGCGGCCAUGCCGGACGUCAAGGCCGACGACGCCGUGGUGGCGCUGGCCGACCCCCGCCUGCAGGGCAUCUCCGACGCCAUCCGCGUCGUCCCGCACUUCCCCAAGCCAGGCAUCAUGUUCAACGACAUCACGACGCUCCUGCUGCGGCCCGGGGUGUUCAAGGACGCCGUGGACAUGUUCGUCGAGCGCUACCGCGGCAUGGGCAUCGCCGCCGUCGCCGGGAUUGAGGCGAGAGGAUUUAUAUUUGGCCCCGCGAUUGCACUAGCCGUCGGUGCCAAGUUCAUUCCGUUGCGCAAGCCUAAGAAACUCCCAGGUGAGGUGAUUUCUGAGACCUAUGUUCUCGAAUACGGAACUGAUUGUCUGGAGAUGCAUGUUGGUGCUAUCGAACCCCGUGAGCGUGUUUUGAUCGUUGAUGGUCUGGUUGCAACUGGUGGGACACUUUGUGCUGCUAUAAAUCUUCUGGAACGUGCUGGAGCUGAUGUCGUUGAGUGUGCUUGUCUCAUUGGGCUCCCUAAAUUUAAGGAUUGUUACAAGCUCAACGGGAAGCCUGUCUAUGUACUGGUGGAGUCUCUCGAAUAUGAAAAAUAA